CCUACGGGCGGCAGCAGUGGGGAAUAUUGGACAAUGGGGGCAACCCUGAUCCAGCCAUGCCGCGUGUGUGAAGAAGGCCCUCGGGUUGUAAAGCACUUUCAGUGAGGAAGAACGCCUGGUGGUUAAUACCCAUCAGGAAAGACAUCACUCACAGAAGAAGCACCGGCUAACUCCGUGCCAGCAGCCGCGGUAAUACGGAGGGUGCGAGCGUUAAUCGGAAUUACUGGGCGUAAAGCGCGCGUAGGUGGCUUGAUAAGCCGGUUGUGAAAGCCCCGGGCUCAACCUGGGAACGGCAUCCGGAACUGUCAAGCUAGAGUGCAGGAGAGGAAGGUAGAAUUCCCGGUGUAGCGGUGAAAUGCGUAGAGAUCGGGAGGAAUACCAGUGGCGAAGGCGGCCUUCUGGACUGACACUGACACUGAGGUGCGAAAGCGUGGGUAGCAAACAGGAGUAGAUACCCUAGUAGUC
rnacentral:rRNA from 1 species